AUUGAACGCUGGCGGCAGGCCUAACACAUGCAAGUCGAGCGAGCGGCGGACGGGUGAGUAAUGUAUGGGGAUCUGCCCGAUGGCGGGGGAUAACUACUGGAAACGGUAGCUAAUACCGCAUACCAUCAGAUGAACCCAUAUGGGAUUAGCUCGUAGGUGGGGUAACGGCUCACCUAGGCGACGAUCCCUAGCUGGUCUGAGAGGAUGAUCAGGCACACUGGAACUGAGACACGGCCCAGACUCCAACGGGAGGCAGCAGUGGGGAAUAUUGCACAAUGGGCGCAAGCCUAAUGCAGCCAUGCCGCGUGUAUGAAGAAGGCCUGCGGGUUGUAAAGUACUGUCAGUCGGGAGGCGUUACCGGCAGAAGAAGCACCGGCUAACUCCGUGCCAGCAGCCGCGGUAAUAC
rnacentral:rRNA from 1 species